GUGUCAGCCGCCGCGGUAAUACGUAGGGUGCGAGCGUUAAUCGGAAUUACUGGGCGUAAAGCGUGCGCAGGCGGUUCGCUAAGACAGGUGUGAAAUCCCCGGGCUUAACCUGGGCAUGGCGCUUGUGACUGGCGGGCUGGAGUACGGCAGAGGGGGGUGGAAUUCCACGUGUAGCAGUGAAAUGCGUAGAGAUGUGGAGGAACACCGAUGGCGAAGGCAGCCCCCUGGGCCGCUACUGACGCUCAUGCACGAAAGCGUGGGGAGCAAACAGGAUUAGAAACCCGCGUAGUCC
rnacentral:rRNA from 1 species